rnacentral:rRNA from 1 species
UACGUAGGGGGCAAGCGUUGUCCGGAUUUAUUGGGCGUAAAGAGCGUGUAGGCGGCUUUACAGGUCCGUUGUGAAAACUCGAGGCUCAACCUCGAGACGCCGGUGGAAACCGUAAAGCUAGAGUCCGGAAGAGGCGAGUGGAAUUCCUGGUGUAGCGGUGAAAUGCGCAGAUAUCAGGAGGAACACCGAUUGCGAAGGCAGCUCGCUGGGACGUAACUGACGCUGAGACGCGAAAGCGUGGGGAGCAAACAGG